CAUAUGGAGACACAAAACAAUGUGUAACCAGCAGAGUUUCUCAAUUUGCUUUUAGCCAAUUCAUGUGCCUAUUGAAUGUAUGUACUGCCAUGUUGUGUUAGCCUCGUAGCUUAUUUCGGCUACCACAGUAAUUAUAAUUACCAUUCACAGCUGUGAGUAAUGAAUGAUUGAGUUUAGUAGUGUAUAUAAAUGCUAGCACAGUCUGACUGAGCUAGGCUCUGCUGUUCACAUUUUAAUCACUAUCACCAGCUUCCUAAAGGAAGCAUGCACACAAUGAAUAGGAGGGGCCCGAGAACUGAUCCUUGAGGAACCCCUUGAGUCACAAGAGAAGUGGAAGAAGUAUAGCCAGAGGGUAACAAACUGUUUUAACUCAGUUAGAUAUUAUGUGAACCAGUCCUGGGCAGAGCCAUCAAUGGCCAGCUCACACAGUCUAGACAGAAGAAUGGAAUGGUUUACCGUGUCGAAGGCUGUGCUUAGAUCUAGUAGUAAAAGAAUACAAAGACCAGCAGAAUCCACAGACACGAGGAGGUCAUUAGUGAUCUUCAGUUUCAGAGCUGUGGAAGGGAUGGGAUCAGUUCUCUUCAAGAACACGAAAGGAAAGGAAGAUUAGGCCAGAUGUUAUCCAGAGCUAAAGGGUCCAAACCAGGUUUUUUGAGUAAACGAGUGACUGCAGCAAUUUUAAAGGUAGAUGGAGCAUGUCAUGUGAUUGAUUAAUAAGAGUUAUGAUAUGAGGGGCCCGAGCGGGCUUCAGUUAAAAUGUAGGGAGAAGAUCAAAUAAGCAGGUCAUAGUUUUAGACUUUACAAUAUUAGUGUUGUGGACAUCAACUAUGUGCAGGUGCACAGCAAUGGCAAAUGCAGUGACUCUAAUAGCAGUUCCCCGUGGAAUUGCUCCAUGUCAACCCUGCAGGGGUAUCGGAAUGUAAUGUGGGUCUGUGGUUCGGUGGCCUAUGGUGAAUUGCCACAGAAUUGGACUUGUUGUUGUUAUCCAGCUAUAGUGCACCCAAGGAUGCAGGUGUUUACACUUUCCUAUGCCAAGCAGCACAGGGCGAAGAGAGACAUAACCAGCACAGACUAUCGUGGUAGAAUCCUGAGGGACCCAUGGACUACUCCGGGGCAAACUUUUGGCUGAACUUUGGUUCCAGGACUGAGGACCGUAGCAGCCUUUCAAAAGAUCAAUGGGUUAGCUUAUCAGUUACUGCAAGUAGUUAAUGACACCUCAGCAGCUAUAGGGCACCUUUAAGGCACUUAAAGCUAGAAAAACAAGCGAUAAGGGCAGCAGUGCUUCAACAUACAAUGGUAUUAGAUCUCCUAACCAUGAAGGAAGGAGGGGUGUGUAAAAUGAUUAACACUUCCUGCUGUUUUUACAUUCCAGAUCUCAGCGCUAAUAUUACUGAUAUGAAUCAUAUGCGAUCUGCCAUCACUCCGCCGCCUACAGUUCCAGGUGGAUUCUGGGACUGGCUGAUGGCCUGGUUGGGCAGUUGGGCAGCAAACCUAGCGGCUGUAGCGUUGCCCAUUCUGCUACCCAUUCUUCUUCUUCUUCUUCUUCUUCUUCUUCUUCUUCUUCUUCUUCUUCUGUGUUUACCUCCUUUUUUGUCACUGUGUGUCAGACGUCUUUCUAGUGUGUUCACCACGCCAGCUCUCAGCAGUCAUGCCAAUGACCAACCCCAUGUCUGUGAAGACAUUCCGCUCCCCAAGACGGGCGGUGCUGGUGACCCACAUGAAGACAUCGUAGUGUUAUUUGCUGAAUGAAUGUGUGAUAUAGAAUCAAAGGGAGAGAUGUUGUGGAAAUUUACUUUGCUUUCUGUUACUUUGCUUUCUGUUUCUAUAGUCACAGCAUAACAGUCUGCAGAUAAGCGCAUGAGUCAGGGACACCAGCUGCCCACAUACUGUUCUAACCAUAGAGAUAGAAGAAGCCUUCAGCGCUCAGGCUAACCAAAACAUGAAUUAGCAGAUACUCUGUAGGAGUCGUUUUUCUUUUUUUCUUUUUCUUCUGUUCUGUGUAUUAGGGGAGGGGGACCGUACUGCGGGUCAGUUCUCUUACUCUGUUAUACAGGGGACAGAACUCAAUAAACUUUGCAUUUUUACUA